rnacentral:rRNA from 1 species
GGGUUGUGAGGUUAAGCGAAUAAGCGUACACGGUGGAUGCCUAGGCAAUCAGAGGCGAUGAAGGACGUGCUAAUCUGCGAAAAGCGUCGGUAAGGUGAUAUGAACCGUUAUACCCGACGAUAUCCGAAUGGGGAAACCCAGUAUCCAAUGGAUACUAUCAUUAACUGAAUCCAUAGGUUAAUGAGGCGAACCGGGAGAACUGAAACAUCUCAGUACCCCGAGGAAAAGAAAUCAACCGAGAUUCCCCUAGUAGCGGCGAGCGAACGGGGAGCAGCCCAGAGUCUUAAUCAAUAGCAGUGUCAGGAGAACGGUCUGGAAAGUCCGGCAGUAAAGGGUGAUAGCCCCGUAUCUGAAGAUGCUGUUAUUGUGAACUCAACGAGUAGGGCGGGACACGUGUUAUCCUGUCUGAAUAUGGGGGGACCAUCCUCCAAGGCUAAAUACUCCUGAUUGACCGAUAGUGAACCAGUACCGUGAGGGAAAGGCGAAAAGAACCCCGGCGAGGGGAGUGAAAAAGAACCUGAAACCGUGUACGUACAAGCAGUAGGAGCCUCUUUAUGGGGUGACUGCGUACCUUUUGUAUAAUGGGUCAGCGACUUAUAUUCUGUAGCAAGGUUAACCGUAUAGGGGAGCCGUAGGGAAACCGAGUCUUAACUGGGCGAAUGAGUUGCAGGGUAUAGACCCGAAACCCGGUGAUCUAUCCAUGGGCAGGUUGAAGGUUGGGUAACACUAACUGGAGGACCGAACCGACUAAUGUUGAAAAAUUAGCGGAUGACUUGUGGAUGGGGGUGAAAGGCCAAUCAAACCGGGAGAUAGCUGGUUCUCCCCGAAAGCUAUUUAGGUAGCGCCUCGUGAACUCAUCUUCGGGGGUAGAGCACUGUUUCGACUAGGGGGUCAUCCCGACUUACCAACUCGAUGCAAACUGCGAAUACCGAAGAAUGUUAUCACGGGAGACACACGGCGGGUGCUAACGUCCGUCGUGAAGAGGGAAACAACCCAGACCGCCAGCUAAGGUCCCAAAGUCAUGGUUAAGUGGGAAACGAAGUGGGAAGGCUCAGACAGCCAGGAUGUUGGCUUAGAAGCAGCCAUCAUUUAAAGAAAGCGUAAUAGCUCACUGGUCGAGUCGGCCCGCGCGGAAGAUGUAACGGGCUAAACCAUGCACCGAAGCUGCGGCAGCGACACAAAGUGUUGUUGGGUAGGGGAGCGUUCUGUAAGCCUGCGAAGGUGUACUGUGAGGUAUGCUGGAGGUAUCAGAAGUGCGAAUGCUGACAUAAGUAACGAUAAUGCGGGUGAAAACCCGCACGCCGGAAGACCAAGGGUUCCUGUCCAACGUUAAUCGGGGCAGGGUGAGUCGACCCUAAGGCGAGGCUGAAAAGCGUAGUCGAUGGGAAACGGGUUAAUAUUCCCGUACUGGUGGUAACUGCGAUGGGGGAACGGAGAAGGCUAGGUUGUCCGGGCGACGGUCGUCCCGGUUCAAGCAGGUAGGCAGAGUGAUUAGGCAAAUCCGGUCACUUAAUGCUGAGAUGUGAUGACGAACCACCAAGGUGGUGAAGCAAUUGAUGCCCCGCUUCCAGGAAAAGCCUCUAAGCUUCAGGUUACCAACAAUCGUACCCCAAACCGACACAGGUGGUCAGGUAGAGAAUACUCAGGCGCUUGAGAGAACUCGGGUGAAGGAACUAGGCAAAAUGGUGCCGUAACUUCGGGAGAAGGCACGCUGGCGGUAGGUAAAGUCCCUUGCGGACGGCGCCCAAGCCAGUCGAAGAUACCAGCUGGCUGCAACUGUUUAUUAAAACACAGCACUGUGCAAACACGAAAGUGGACGUAUACGGUGUGACGCCUGCCCGGUGCUGGAAGGUUAAUUGAUGGGGUUAGCGUAAGCGAAGCUCCUGAUCGAAGCCCCAGUAAACGGCGGCCGUAACUAUAACGGUCCUAAGGUAGCGAAAUUCCUUGUCGGGUAAGUUCCGACCUGCACGAAUGGCGUAAUGAUGGCCAGGCUGUCUCCACCCGAGACUCAGUGAAAUUGAACUCGCUGUGAAGAUGCAGUGUACCCGCGGCAAGACGGAAAGACCCCGUGAACCUUUACUAUAGCUUGACACUGAACAUUGAGCCUUGAUGUGUAGGAUAGGUGGGAGGCUUUGAAGUGUGGACGCCAGUCUGCAUGGAGCCAACCUUGAAAUACCACCCUUUAACGUUUGAUGUUCUAACCUAGGCCCAUAAACUGGGUCGGGGACCGUGUCUGGUGGGUAGUUUGACUGGGGCGGUCUCCUCCUAAAGAGUAACGGAGGAGCACGAAGGUUGGCUAAGCAUGGUCGGACAUCAUGCGGUUAGUGCAAAGGCAUAAGCCAGCUUGACUGCGAGUGACGGCUCGAGCAGGUACGAAAGUAGGUCUUAGUGAUCCGGUGGUUCUGAAUGGAAGGGCCAUCGCUCAACGGAUAAAAGGUACUCCGGGGAUAACAGGCUGAUACCGCCCAAGAGUUCAUAUCGACGGCGGUGUUUGGCACCUCGAUGUCGGCUCAUCACAUCCUGGGGCUGAAGUAGGUCCCAAGGGUAUGGCUGUUCGCCAUUUAAAGUGGUACGCGAGCUGGGUUUAGAACGUCGUGAGACAGUUCGGUCCCUAUCUGCCGUGGGCGUUGGAAGAUUGAGAGGGGUUGCUCCUAGUACGAGAGGACCGGAGUGAACGCACCACUGGUGUUCGGGUUGUCAUGCCAAUGGCAUUGCCCGGUAGCUAAGUGCGGAAGAGAUAACCGCUGAAAGCAUCUAAGCGGGAAACUUGCCUCGAGAUGAGUCUUCCCUGUCGCUUUAAGCGACCUAAAGGAACGUUUAAGACUAAGACGUUGAUAGGCUGGGUGUGUAAGCGUAGCGAUACGUUGAGCUAACCAGUACUAAUGAACCGUGAGGCUUAACCUGACAACACCGAAAGUGUUUUG